rnacentral:rRNA from 1 species
UACGAAGGGGACUAGCGUUGUUCGGAAUUACUGGGCGUAAAGCGCGCGUAGGCGGCCCGGUAAGUCCGCUGUAAAAGUCAAAGGCUCAACCUUUGAAUGUCAGUGGAUACUGCCGGGCUAGAGUCCGGAAGAGGCGAGUGGAACUCCUGGUGUAGCGGUGGAAUGCGCAGAUAUCAGGAAGAACACCGACGGCGAAGGCAGCUCGCUGGGACGGUACUGACGCUGAGGCGCGAAAGCGUGGGGAGCGAACAGG